rnacentral:rRNA from 1 species
UGGGGAAUUUUGGACAAUGGGCGCAAGCCUGAUCCAGCAAUGCCGCGUGCAGGAUGAAGGCCUUCGGGUUGUAAACUGCUUUUGUACGGAGCGAAAAGGUCUGCCCUAAUACGGUGGGCUCAUGACGGUACCGUAAGAAUAAGCACCGGCUAACUACGUGCCAGCAGCCGCGGUAAUACGUAGGGUGCGAGCGUUAAUCGGAAUUACUGGGCGUAAAGCGUGCGCAGGCGGCUAUAUAAGACAGGUGUGAAAUCCCCGGGCUCAACCUGGGACCUGCAUUUGUGACUGUAUAGCUAGAGUACGGUAGAGGGGGAUGGAAUUCCGCGUGUAGCAGUGAAAUGCGUAGAUAUGCGGAGGAACACCGAUGGCGAAGGCAAUCCCCUGGACCUGUACUGACGCUCAUGCACGAAAGCGUGGGGAGCAAACA